GACAGAGGGUGCAAACGUUGUUCGGAAUUACUGGGCGUAAAGCGUGUGUAGGCGGCCGCGCAAGUCGGAUGUGAAAGCCCCGGGCUCAACCCGGGAAGUGCACCCGAAACUGCGUGGCUUGAGUACCGGAGAGGUUGGUGGAAUUCUCGGUGUAGAGGUGAAAUGCGUAGAGAUCGGAAAGAACACCAACGGCGAAAGCACUCUGCUGGGCCGACACUGACACUGAGAGACGAAAGCUAGGGGAGCGAAUGGG
rnacentral:rRNA from 1 species